ensembl:lncRNA
GGUCUGGAUGCCGGGGGCCCAGAGAAGGAAGAACCCCGUCCCCCGCCCCAGAGUCACACAGCAGCCGGGUCUCCCCUUUACCCCAACUCCCAGCCGCAAGGCCACCUGGGCGCUGCGGUGCCCCCGCGGCACGUAUAGCUAUUUGAUGUUGGAAGUGUGAAAGUGAGAUGGGCUCAGUGACCAGGCAAGCCUCAUGUAAAUGAGUGGCAGGAACUCCUUGACCUUCUGGCACAAACAUCCAAAACUGGGUUCCAGUCAGUUGGUGCAAGAAGAUCUCUGAAGAGGGCCUGCCGCUUGUUCUCACCAUCUGGGGUUUUGGCAGAAGGAGGAUCUGGAGUUUGUUCCUUCUGUUAAAAUGCAGGAUCCCUGUGGUGAUG